rnacentral:rRNA from 1 species
AGAGUUUGAUCCUGGCUCAGAUUGAACGCUGGCGGCAGGCUUAACACAUGCAAGUCGAGCGGAAACGAGAAUAGCUUGCUAUUCGGCGUCGAGCGGCGGACGGGUGAGUAAUGCUUGGGAACAUGCCUUGAGGUGGGGGACAACAGUUGGAAACGACUGCUAAUACCGCAUAAUGUCUUCGGACCAAAGGAGGGGAUCUUCGGACCUUUCGCCUUUAGAGUGGCCCAAGUGAGAUUAGCUAGUUGGUGGGGUAAAGGCCUACCAAGGCGACGAUCUCUAGCUGGUUUGAGAGGAUGAUCAGCCACACUGGGACUGAGACACGGCCCAGACUCCUACGGGAGGCAGCAGUGGGGAAUAUUGCACAAUGGGGGAAACCCUGAUGCAGCCAUGCCGCGUGUGUGAAGAAGGCCCUCGGGUUGUAAAGCACUUUCAGUCGUGAGGAAAGGUUUGUAGCUAAUAUCUGCAAGCUGUGACGUUAGCGACAGAAGAAGCACCGGCUAACUCCGUGCCAGCAGCCGCGGUAAUACGGAGGGUGCGAGCGUUAAUCGGAAUUACUGGGCGUAAAGCGUGCGUAGGCGGUUUCUUAAGCGAGAUGUGAAAUCCCGGGGCUCAACCUCGGAACUGCAUUUCGAACUGGGUGACUAGAGUACUGUAGAGGGUGGUGGAAUUUCCAGUGUAGCGGUGAAAUGCGUAGAGAUUGGAAGGAACAUCAGUGGCGAAGGCGGCCACCUGGACAGAUACUGACGCUGAGGCACGAAAGCGUGGGGAGCAAACAGGAUUAGAUACCCUGGUAGUCCACGCCGUAAACGAUGUCAACUAGCUGUCUGUGUUCUUGAAACGUGGGUAGCGUAGCUAACGCGCUAAGUUGACCGCCUGGGGAGUACGGCCGCAAGGUUAAAACUCAAAUGAAUUGACGGGGGCCCGCACAAGCGGU